AGAGUUUGAUCCUGGCUCAGGACGAACGCUGGCGGCGUGCUUAACACAUGCAAGUCGAACGAUGAAGCCCUUCGGGGUGGAUUAGUGGCGAACGGGUGAGUAACACGUGGGCAAUCUGCCCUUCACUCUGGGACAAGCCCUGGAAACGGGGUCUAAUACCGGAUAUCACUCUCGCAGGCAUCUGUGAGGGUCGAAAGCUCCGGCGGUGAAGGAUGAGCCCGCGGCCUAUCAGCUUGUUGGUGAGGUAACGGCUCACCAAGGCGACGACGGGUAGCCGGCCUGAGAGGGCGACCGGCCACACUGGGACUGAGACACGGCCCAGACUCCUACGGGAGGCAGCAGUGGGGAAUAUUGCACAAUGGGCGAAAGCCUGAUGCAGCGACGCCGCGUGAGGGAUGACGGCCUUCGGGUUGUAAACCUCUUUCAGCAGGGAAGAAGCGAAAGUGACGGUACCUGCAGAAGAAGCGCCGGCUAACUACGUGCCAGCAGCCGCGGUAAUACGUAGGGCGCAAGCGUUGUC
rnacentral:rRNA from 1 species